rnacentral:rRNA from 1 species
GUCUACGGCCAUACCACGUUGAAAGCACCGGUUCUCGUCCGAUCACCGAAGUUAAGCAACGUCGGGCCCGGUUAGUACUUGGAUGGGUGACCGCC